UACGUAGGGGGCAAGCGUUGUCCGGAUUUAUUGGGCGUAAAGAGCGUGUAGGCGGCCUUACAGGUCAGCUGUGAAAACUCGAGGCUCAACCUCGAGACGUCGGUUGAAACCGUAAGGCUAGAGUCCGGAAGAGGAGAGUGGAAUUCCCGGUGUAGCGGUGAAAUGCGCAGAUAUCGGGAAGAACACCCGUGGCGAAGGCGGCUCUCUGGGACGGUACUGAUGCUGAGACGCGAAAGCGUGGGGAGCGAACAGG
rnacentral:rRNA from 1 species